UACGGAGGGUGCGAGCGUUAAUCGGAAUUACUGGGCGUAAAGCGCACGUAGGCGGUCAGGCAAGUCGGGUGUGAAAUCCCCAGGCUUAACCUGGGAACUGCGUCUGAUACUGGAUGGCUUGAAUUCGGGAGAGGGAUGCAGAAUUCCAGGUGUAGCGGUGAAAUGCGUAGAUAUCUGGAGGAAUACCGGUGGCGAAGGCGGCAUCCUGGACCGACAUUGACGCUGAGGAGCGAAAGCUAGGGGAGCAAACGGGG
rnacentral:rRNA from 1 species